UACGUAGGGUGCAAGCGUUGUCCGGAAUUAUUGGGCGUAAAGAGCUCGUAGGCGGUCUGUCGCGUCGGCUGUGAAAACUCGGGGCUCAACUGGGGAGGGUCACGCGAUACUGAUCGACUCGAAGGCAGGAGAGGGAAGUGGAAUUCCCGGUGUAGUGGUGAAAUGCGCAGAUAUCGGGAAGAACACCCGUGGCGAAGGCGGCUCUCUGGGACGGUACUGACGCUGAGACGCGAAAGCGUGGGGAGCGAACAGG
rnacentral:rRNA from 1 species